UUGAGAACUUGAAGAAGCAAAGAAGACGAGAAUCAAAAUUGGAAUGGUGCAACCCACCACAAUGUUUGUUGCUUGUGAGUUGGGAGGUCGACGUAGAUGGUUUCUGAACAGAACUCCACUUUGGUAAGUGUUUCUCAUAAAACAGAACUUCCCACUUCUUGCUUCUAUUUUUUCCCAUUGACUAAAUAGAUACAUGUAUAUGCAAAUCUUCGACUCUCUGAUAUGCUCUUCUGCUACAUAACUUACUGGAUAUCAUCCGUACAGUGCUUUCUUCAAUUUACUAUGUGAUACACCAAACUAUCUGAGAAGAACUCUUUCGGCACGAAUGUUAACAAGGAGUAGAAGUAUUUUGGAUUGUGUUUACGAGAAAGAGAUUUACAUAUCAC
rnacentral:lncRNA from 1 species